CUUAUUUCUGCUGUUCUCCUGUAACGGUCACAUUUUCUGGUGAGAGGAAACAGUUUUGAAUGUGUGUCCCACCCCUCUGAUUAAAGCACAAUAUCAGACUGUCUGUUAGUCAGGACUGUCAAACCAACAUCACUGUUCCUUCAGUUCUCACUCAUUCACAGUAAAGAUGACAGCACACGCUCUCAUUAUCUGCUCUCUACUGCUUUUCAUUGCUGAGUGUAAUGGACAGAUCACAGUCACUCAGAAUCCCUCAACAACAGCAGCUCAACCAGGACAACAAGUUAAAAUAAACUGUAAAACCAGCAGUGGAGUGUAUAAUGGUAACAACUUGCACUGGUACUUACAGAAACCUGGAGAAGCUCCUAAACUCCUCAUAUAUUAUACAAACCGCCUGCAGUCUGGAACUCCAUCUAGAUUCAGUGGCAGUGGAUCUAAUAGUGAUUUCACUCUGACCAUCAGUGGAGUCCAGACUGAAGAUGCAGGACAUUAUUACUGUCAGAGUUAUCACUACAUCAACAGUAAAGAUGUGUUCACACAGUGAUAAAGAGUCGUACAAAAACCUCCUUCAGUGAAAGAGGAACUACUGAUACAGAAACAGUUUCUCUGAAUGUUACAUUAUAAAUUGACAUGGACACAAAGUUUUUGAUUUUUAUAUUUCACACUCAACACUACAUAUGAAACUGGAUGACACAUUUUAUUAUAAAUUCAGUAAUUUUUGGUUUAUGUUUUACUGGCUGAUAUGACACUAGUCUUAAACUUUACUGACACCUAUCCAUGUGAAUACAGCAUCAUGCAAACAUAAAACAUUUGUUUUCACAGAUGUCAUAUUUUAAUGUAAUUCAUAACUUUAAACAUUUGACUUGUUUCACCCCCUCAAUUGGACAGGCUCAUAUAAAGUGAGAGGUGAUGUCACAUACAUGCACUGUAAAAAAAAAAAAAAAAAAAUCCACAUUUUACAGAAAAUAACUCUAAAUUUUUACAGUAGUUUUCUGUUUUUCAAAUUUGUAUUCAAAACUCUGUAAAAUUACAGACAUUAUCUGUAAAUUAACAACCCAACUGUCAUUUGAAGUUUUUUGACAAUAAUGACAAAUUACAUGUAUUUCUCAUUUAUUUACAGAAAAAUUACUAUAUUAUUUUUACCGUAUUUUUUCUGCUUUCUAAAAUUACAGACAAAUGUAUGUAAAAUGAUAAUAAUUAUCUGUAAUUAAAUAUGUAGAUCAUUAUAUAAAGGUUU